UACGGAGGGUGCGAGCGUUGUCCGGAAUCAUUGGGCGUAAAGGGCGCGUAGGUGGCCUGCUAAGCGUGCGGUGAAAGUCGGGGGCUCAACCCCCGAUCGGCCGUGCGAACUGGGAGGCUUGAGCACUGUAGAGGCAGGCGGAAUUCCGGGUGUAGCGGUGGAAUGCGUAGAGAUCCGGAAGAACACCGGUGGCGAAGGCGGCCUGCUGGGCAGUUUUGCUGCACUGAGGCGCGACAGCGUGGGGAGCAAACAGGG
rnacentral:rRNA from 1 species